GGUUAAUGCAUUAUGCAUAAGCAUCAGGGAAAUAAAAAGCCAUGCAGGAAAGCAGUGCAGUUCAGCUGCUUCCUAAACCCAGAGCUUGUUAUACAAAGGUUGUACCAUGAAGCAGUCCCACCCCUCCAGCUACUGAUCCUGCCAGAGCUUUGGGCUCUUCUACCACUUCCCUCCUUGCCUGGAUUGCUAAGAGAUUAACCAAUUUUAAACAGUCCCAUUUAUCCCAAGACAUGGAUACGUGAAAUAUCCUGCAGUGAUUGAAGUGCUGAAUCUCCCAGUAUUCAAGAUGAAUCUUCGUUUCACUGAAUCUUUUGACACGUAUUAUUUUAGCGAGAGCCCUCUUAAGUCUUCAUUUGCUUGUGUGUUUUGCAUCAGGCAGGAGCACAGGAGCUUGCCAUGGAGAUCAGAUUUGAGGCCAGUCCACCCUUGUGUCUCAUCCCUGACAUUGAACAGAGCAUCAGCAGAGAGCACUGGAGGCUGCAGGGCACUAAGCUGGAGGAGGGAUGACUUCACUGCGUUGGAGGUGAUUUAAUCCUCAGUUGGCCAUGCCUCAGAUGGCUCUGCUGCUGCAGGUGCCUUGCUGCAAGGGGCGCAUGAAGUGCUGAGCUUUCUCAAGAGCACUGAAAGCCCCUUCUCUCCGAGUUGUCUCAUGCAGCAGAUGAUGGCUUCGUGAAGAACAAAGCAGAGGACCAUUUACAGUAAGAGGAGUGUGCUUUGCUGAGUGCAGAGUGUUUGCAGCUCUUAAUGAUGCAGAACCUCUUUUAGGUGGCUGUGGGAAAGGG